rnacentral:lncRNA from 1 species
CGUGGAGCCAGCCAACUGUGGACUGAAACCUCUACAAACUGCAGGUGGCAGAACCAUUGAGCUAAAUCCCUGGCCCUCAGAUGGAAUUUUUGUUUCCCAAGACCUGAACGAAGUUUAACAUAUAUACUGUGGAUCAAAACCCAGCAAUGCUUUACCACUGAACUACUUCCUCCAUUCUAAGGCUUCUCUAAAUCGACAAAUGACAAGACUGGCCUUGAACUCAUGGAUCCCCCUGCCUCAGCCUCCUGAAUUCUGGGAUUACAGGCACGCACCAUCACACUAGUAACAGAGCCCCAGAUUUUUAGCUGGUCCUGUCAGCUGUCUGAAAUUUCUACUGCCUUUCUCAUUCUCUCUGGUGAUUCAAGUUGAUUUGCACUCCAUUCCACGACCUGAAGUUACUCUAGAUCUUGAGAAACUUAACUGGUCUCUAGAAGAUUUCAGAUGCAAACUCUGACUCAGACCAACUCAUAAAAUAUAGAAAUAUUUCUUCAAAGUGAAUCAGAUGCCUGAAAAUAAUAAUUUUUAUUUAAGUAUUUUGGAAGUGAAGGAGUGGGAAUGUUCUAAACCUG